UACGUAGGUGGCAAGCGUUGUCCGGAUUUACUGGGCGUAAAGAGCGCGCAGGCGGUCGUUCAAGUCGCGUGUGAAAGCCCCCGGCUCAACUGGGGAGGGUCACGCGAUACUGAUCGACUCGAAGGCAGGAGAGGGUAGUGGAAUUCCCGGUGUAGUGGUGAAAUGCGUAGAUAUCGGGAGGAACACCAGUUGCGAAGGCGACUACCUGGCCUGUUCUUGACGCUGAGGCGCGAAAGCUAGGGGAGCAAACGGG
rnacentral:rRNA from 1 species